rnacentral:rRNA from 1 species
GGUGCUCGAGUGGCGAACGGGUAAGUAACACGUGAGUAACCUGCCCUUGACUUUGGGAUAACUUCAGGAAACUGGGGCUGAUACCGGAUAGGAGCUCCUGCUGCAUGGUGGGGGUUGGAAAGUUUCGGCGGUUGGGGAUGGACUCGCGGCUUAUCAGCUUGUUGGUGGGGUAGUGGCUUACCAAGGCUUUGACGGGUAGCCGGCCUGAGAGGGUGACCGGCCACAUUGGGACUGAGGUACGGCCCAG